rnacentral:rRNA from 1 species
GAUGAACGCUGGCGGCGUGCUUAACACAUGCAAGUCGAACGAAGCACUUAAGAUUGAUUCUUCGGAUGACGUCUUUUGUGACUUAGUGGCGGACGGGUGAGUAACGCGUGGGUAACCUGCCUCACACAGGGGGAUAACAGUUAGAAAUGACUGCUAAUACCGCAUAACCCGAUAGGAUCGCAUGAUCCAGACGGAAAAGAUUUAUCGGUGUGAGAUGGACCCGCGUCUGAUUAGCUAGUUGGUGAGGUAACGGCCCACCAAGGCGACGAUCAGUAGCCGGCCUGAGAGGGUGAACGGCCACAUUGGGACUGAGACACGGCCCAAACUCCUACGAGAGGCAGCAGUGGGGAAUAUUGCACAAUGGGGGAAACCCUGAUGCAGCGACGCCGCGUGAGUGAAGAAGUAUUUCGGUAUGUAAAGCUCUAUCAGCAGGGAAGAAAAUGACGGUACCUGACUAAGAAGCCCCGGCUAACUACGUG